UACGGAGGGUGCGAACGUUAAUCGGAAUCACUGGGCGUAAAGCGCGCGUAGGCGGUUUGUUAAGUGGGAUGUGAAAUCCCCGGGCUUAACCUGGGAAUUGCGUUCCAAACUGGCCGACUAGAGUACGGUAGAGGGAGGUAGAAUUUCCUGUGUAGCGGUGAAAUGCGUAGAUAUAGGAAGGAAUACCAGUGGCGAAGGCGGCAUUCUGGACCGAAACUGACGCUGAGGCGCGAAAGCCAGGGGAGCAAACGGG
rnacentral:rRNA from 1 species